rnacentral:lncRNA from 1 species
UUGAUAAGCAGUUAAACCAGAGAUGGGAGUCAUAUUCCAGUUUCUUUCUCCAAUCCAGUGUUCUUUCUGCUGCCCCUCAGGGCCUGUAUUUUAUUCAACUUUGUGAUGAGAGGAAGGAUAAAGGAGGCCCUUUAAGUUCUCUUCCAUUACUAACAAAGAAAAGAACAUAUUUCCCUUGGCCUAGCUGGGCCAUGGUGACCUAGGCAUCUUUCCUUCCUCAGGAGCCAGAUGGGGGGCUGGCGGUGCUGAGUGGAGGGGGCACCUCUGGAUGGAUGACAUUCCUCAUGUCGGUCUCCUUUAACCAGCUGAUGACAGGUCUAGGACAAAAACCUCUUUACACCUACCUCAUUGCAGGAGGUGACAGGUCUGUGGUGGCCUCCAGGGAGGGGAAGGAAGACAGCACCCUGCACAGAAUUGAGGAGCUGAAGAAGGUGGCUGCUGGGAAGAAGAGGGUCAUUGUCAUUGGCAUCUCGGCAGGCCUCUCUGUAAGUACGAAGAUAGGUGGAGUGGAUCAAUUUUAUAGGGAAGAAGGAGUGGGAAAGGACUGGCAGAACACUUGUGGAAGGAAUUUUCAUUUUAGCUCAUUCGGAUCUAAUUGUAUGAAUGUGAGCAUAGGGAGAAGGGAUCCGUUCUCAUAAUAAUUGUGCAGCAAUCUAUUAAUAACCAAGAUAGACGGACCAGUGCAGGGGUCAGCAAACUAUGCUGGCUGCCUGCUUUUGUAAAUAAAGUUUUACCAACAUGGAAUUGUUUGUGUUUACAUAUAUAGUCUAUGGCCUCUUUUGUGCCACAACUCUAGGAUUGAUAGUUGGACAGAGAUCAGAGAACCCACAAAACCUAUCAUUCUCUGGCCCUUAACAGAAAAGCCUGUCCUCCAGACUAGCCCUUUGCUACGUAACAAUGAUCCCUGCACCAGCAGCACCAGCAUCACAUGGGACUUGUUAGAAAAUGCAGGAUCUCAGACCCCACCCCAGAUCCACUGAAUCCGAAUCUGAAUUUUAAGAAGAUUCCCAGGUGUUUGUUUUGAGCAGCACUAGGUUAGGUGACCCUGAGUUUCCUGUCAACCCUGUAAGUUUCUGAUUCUAAGAAUUGAGUGAGCAGAAACCCAAAUCCCAGCGGUAGGAGUUGAAUACACACAAGGAGAGCAGCGUGCUGAACAAUUCAGUUCAGCAAUUUCCAAACUGUAUCCUGGAGGAGACUACCUUGCUGGUGCUUGAUACAAGUGUAGCUCUCUUGGGGUACUUGUUAAAAAGUGUGAAAGUUGGGUUCAAUCCCACUACCACAGAGAAGCGGGGGAGGGGGGGGAAUGGAGGAAAGAAGGAAGGAGGGAAGAA